ACGAGUGGCGGACGGGUGAGUAAUGCUUGGGAACUUGCCUUUGCGAGGGGGAUAACAGUUGGAAACGACUGCUAAUACCGCAUAAUGUCUACGGACCAAACGGGGCUUUUAGCUCCGGCGCAAAGAGAGGCCCAAGUGAGAUUAGCUAGUUGGUAGGGUAACGGCUUACCAAGGCGACGAUCUCUAGCUGUUCUGAGAGGAAGAUCAGCCACACUGGGACUGAGACACGGCCCAGACUCCUACGGGAGGCAGCAGUGGGGAAUAUUGCACAAUGGGGGAAACCCUGAUGCAGCCAUGCCGCGUGUGUGAAGAAGGCCUUCGGGUUGUAAAGCACUUUCAGUUGUGAGGAAAGGUUGGUAGUUAAUACCUGCCAGCUGUGACGUUAACAACAGAAGAAGCACCGGCUAACUCCGUGCCAGCAGCCGCGGUAAUACGGAGGGUGCGAGCGUUAAUCGGAAUUACUGGGCGUAAAGCGCACGCAGGCGGUUUGUUAAGCUAGAUGUGAAAGCCCCGGGCUCAACCUGGGAUGGUCAUUUAGAACUGGCAGACUGGAGUCUUGGAGAGGGGAGUGGAAUUCCAGGUGUAGCGGUGAAAUGCGUAGAUAUCUGGAGGAACAUCAGUGGCGAAGGCGACUCCCUGGCCAAAGACUGACGCUCAUGUGCGAAAGUGUGGGUAGCGAACAGGAUUAGAUACCCUGGUAG
rnacentral:rRNA from 1 species